UACGACUACAUAUCAGGCAUAUCAAUAAGCGGAGGAAAAGUUCAAGGAGGCGGCUGAAGCCUACGAGGUGUUGUCAGAUACCGAUAAGCGGGCUAAGUACGACCGGUAUGGUUUUGCCGGUGUAGACCCCAAUUAUGGUGGCGGCGGUGGCUCCGGUUUUGAGGGCUUUGGCGGUUUUGGCGGCUUUGGCGGUUUUGGUGGCUUUGGCGAUAUUUUCAGCGAAGUGUUCGGCGGCGGCAGUAGCCGUCGCACCCAAAAUGCACCCCGUCGGGGUGAGGAUGUGGGUGUUCGUAUCGAAAUAACCUUCGAAGAAGCCGCUUUUGGCGCAGAAAAAGAAAUCGAAUACUACCGCAUUGAAAACUGCGGCAAUUGUAACGGCACCGGCAGUGCCGAUGGCGCGGUGGAAAACUGCGGCCGCUGUGGCGGUGCCGGUCAGGUGCGUGUUACCCAAAAUAUGAUGGGCAUGGCAUUCCAGAGCACAACCACCUGCCCCAACUGUUCCGGCCGGGGCAAAAUCAUCAAAAGGCCCUGCGCUACCUGCCGGGGUAAGGCGAAGGUGCGCAAAAAGCAUACCUGCAAAACAAAAGUUCCCUCCGGUAUCAACCAUGGCCAGAGCUACCCUUGCCGGGGCGAAGGCUGUGUGGGCAGCAACGGUGGCCCCUACGGUGACUUGCUGGUAGAGGUAUCCAUCCGUCAGCAUCCCAUUUUUGAACGGGAGGGCUAUGACGUAUUGUGCGAAGUUCCCAUUUCUUUCACCCAGGCGGCUCUGGGUGCUGAAAUCGAAGUACCUACGCUUAGGAUGUUGACGCGCGUGUGUGCGUG
rnacentral:rRNA from 1 species